rnacentral:rRNA from 1 species
CCUACGGGAGGCAGCAGUGGGGAAUAUUGCACAAUGGGGGAAACCCUGAUGCAGCGACGCCGCGUGAGUGAAGAAGUAAUUCGUUAUGUAAAGCCCUAUCAGCAGGGAAGCAAAUGACGGUACCUGAGUAAGAAGCCCCGGCUAACUACGUGCCAGCAGCCGCGGUAAUACGUAGGGGGCAAGCGUUAUCCGGAUUUACUGGGUGUAAAGGGAGCGUAGACGGCAGUGCAAGUCUGGAGUGAAAGGCGGGGGCUCAACCCCCGGACUGCUCUGGAAACUGUACGGCUGGAGUGCAGGAGAGGUAAGUGGAAUUCCUGGUGUAGCGGUGAAAUGCGUAGAUAUUAGGAGGAACACCAGUGGCGAAGGCGGCUUACUGGACUGUAACUGACGUUGAGGCUCGAAAGCGUGGGGAGCGAACAGGAUUAGAUACCCCUGUAGUC